CGGAGGGAUCAUUAAUGAGUUAUAAAAAACUCCAACCCGUGUAAACGUACCACAUUGUUGCCUCGGUUGGCUGUGCUUACCCUGUAGUGACUUACCCUGUAGCUUCCUACCUUGUAGGAAGUUACCCUGUAAGGCCUUACCCUGUAGGCACUUUCCAAGGCCGGCCGAAGGCUCUUGAACUCUAGUUAUAUACUUGACUUCUGAAAACAUAACUUAAUAAGUUAAAACUUUCAACAACGGAUCUCUUGGUUCUGGCAUCGAUGAAGAACGCAGCGAAAUGCGAUAAGUAAUGUGAAUUGCAGAAUUCAGUGAAUCAUCGAAUCUUUGAACGCACAUUGCGCCCAUUAGAAUUCUAGUGGGCAUGCCUGUUCGAGCGUCAUUUCGACCCUUAAGCCCUGUUGCUUAGUGUUGGGAGCCUACUUACCCUGUAGCUCCUCAAAGUCAGUGGCGGAGUCAGGUCACACUCUAAGCGUAGUAAUAUUUUUCUCGCUUCUGUAGUUGUCUCGAUUCCUGCCGUAAAACCCCUAUAUUUAUCUAGGUUGACCUCGGAUCAGGUAGGAAUACCCGCUGAACUUAAGCAUAUCAAUAAGCGGAGGAAAAGAAACCAACAGGGAUUGCCCUAGUAACGGCGAGUGAAGCGGCAACAGCUCAAAUUUGAAAUCUGGCCUUCUGGUCCGAAUUGUAAUUUGUAGAGGAUGCUUUUGGCGCGGUGCCUUCCGAGUUCCCUGGAACGGGACGCCUUAGAGGGUGAGAGCCCCGUACGGUUGGACACCAAGCCUCUGUAAAGCUCCUUCGACGAGUCGAGUAGUUUGGGAAUGCUGCUCUAAAUGGGAGGUAAAUUUCUUCUAAAGCUAAAUACCGGCCAGAGACCGAUAGCGCACAAGUAGAGUGAUCGAAAGAUGAAAAGCACUUUGAAAAGAGGGUUAAACAGCACGUGAAAUUGUUGAAAGGGAAGGAUUUACGACCAGACUUUUUCCAGGCGGAUCAUCCGGUGUUUUCACCGGUGCACUUCGCCUGGUUUAGGCCAGCAUCGGUUUCCGUAGGGGGAUAAAAGCUUUGGGAAAGUAGCUCCCUCCGGGGAGUGUUAUAGCCCGUUGCAUAAUACCCUUAUGGGGACCGAGGAUCGC
rnacentral:rRNA from 1 species